AAAAGAGCAUCCAUAAUUCGAAUGAUUUUCUUCCGUUCAAAUCAUUGCACUUUAUAGCACCAAAAGAGCUAGCAUUCCAGUUGGCCGAGUGACUAGAGGCCCCAAUGUUUACGGAGCAAUCUAAAGUUGGAACAAGGAGGAAAUGACAUGAUUAAAUUGCAUGCUGAAUGAUUCUUGAUGGUUGGUAUUUGUAGGACGAGCUGGAAGCGUGGAAUGAUAGAACGCAGCUCCCUUUUUCAUUUUUAAAAUAAAUAUUUUAUUUCUAAUUAGAGGGAACAGAUAUAAGAUUAAAAAAUUGUAUAGCUGCUGCAAUGCAUGAAAACAAAUCCGUAAAAAAGUAAAUCAUAAAAUAAUAAAAUAUAGAUUUUUUAGGAGAAUAAUAAAAUAGAGAAACUAAAUAUAUUGGAGGGAGAACGGUACCAAAGCCUAGCUUGGCUAAUUAACUUUAUACCCGGGCCUGGCCGGCCUCAACGGGCCGAUUCUUCCUCGGGUCUUUGUCGUCCCAAGCUCAAAGUCACACGCGGCGAACCAACAUGUGAUUGGAUGGUUAGAAGGAUCGUGGUAUACACCAGUUGGUAUACACAAUACAUCAGAGUUCAAUUCUAGACUCGACAUUGGUGCCUGUAUUUUUCUGAAUUUUUUCAGGCCUUUCGGCGAUGUUCGUCCAGUGGAUGAAGACCUUCCCUUCAAAUAUGCUCGUGUAUGUGAGCUCGAGCUCACAAGAGCACUUUCGCGUGUAUGUGAGCUACUUUGAUUAAUUGUACUGUCUCACACACGCGAGUCCAUCAUGCGGUACGCCGUCCGGAUACGUGUGCACACGAGUGUCACGCAUGUGGAAUACCGAAGGUUCCCGGCUUCUCCAAGCUGGGCCAUCGAGAUCGAGGCAUCGAUGGUCGACCGCGGGAUUGCAUGGUGGGACAACGUAGUUACGGGAAUAUAUGCAUGCAGAUAGGGAAAAGGCAAAAGCUAUGUGAAUGAAUAUUACCGAUCCUUCCGCGCGCGUGGGCCGUCCCUGUCGUGUCCGCUGAAACUGGCCGACGAGAGCGUUUGGUCCCCGUCCACCUCGCCGUGUAUAAAUCCGUCCUCGGUGAUCGCUGUGACCACUCACCACUAGAAGCAAUAGCAACUUGAACUUCAGACUUCAGAGCACAAUUUGCCAGCCAGUCAAACUCAAGAAGGAUUCGACACAGCUCGCUCGACCACAUGGCCAACUUCACCGCCCAGCUCAAGGAGAGGUUCCUCGCCCUCGUCGACCGCGUCACCGGCUGCGGCCGCGGUUCCGCGGCCAAGGAGAAGGAGGAGGCCACCAAGCCGGCCAUGAAGGAGCACGUCGAGAUUCGAUCGAGAGCUCCCAACGUGUCAGGAGGAUCAGGGGCGGGAGUCAAUUAGCACACUGCAUGCAUGCUGAUGCGGGCUGAAGAUGUACUGUAUUUGUCGUUGCAGAUUCGUGCGCCUGUUUCUUUCAGUGCACGCCAUGUAAUUAAGCUUGCGGGUUCUUGUUGUUUCCUGUAACUGUAAGUGUGCCGCUUUGUUGUGCAAUCUCCUCCUGUUAAUUUCUUGGGACGAAAUCUUGUGUAAUCUCCACGUACGCCGGCCGCGAGGCUUGGUGUGGAGUGAUCUAAAAGAUCUUAUACUAUUUGUUUACAGAGGGAGUACGUAUAAGGUUAAUAAAGGGUAUUUUUGUGGAGAA